AAAUGCCCUGGAGGUCUGGCUGCCACAUCUGUCACCCCAUUGAUCGCUGGGGUUGAUUCUGCUGAUCUGGCUGGAUAGGCAGGUGUCCCCUUCCUCCCUCCCAGCUCCUCGUGUGUCCCUCCCAAUGUUGCGCGCUUGGUCGAAGAGGACGGCCUUCACCGAAUAGAGAUGGACCGGUCUUUGGUCAAGGGUAUACAAGUAGCUGCACUCCCUUGUUCAUGACCAACCUAAACUGCAAGAAGGGCUGUGAAAUCGAAGACUUUGCAACACCUAUAGCACAAGAAAAGAGAUCU
rnacentral:snRNA from 1 species